rnacentral:rRNA from 1 species
AUUGAACGCUGGCGGCAUGCCUUACACAUGCACGUCGAACGGCAGCACGGGAGCAAUCCUGGUGGCGAGUGGCGAACGGGUGAGUAAUAUAUCGGAACGUGCCCAGUCGUGGGGGAUAACGUAGCGAAAGCUACGCUAAUACCGCAUACGAUCUAUGGAUGAAAGCGGGGGAUCGCAAGACCUCGCGCGAUUGGAGCGGCCGAUAUCAGAUUAGGUAGUUGGUGAGGUAAAGGCUCACCAAGCCGACGAUCUGUAGCUGGUCUGAGAGGACGACCAGCCACACUGGGACUGAGACACGGCCCAGACUCCUACGGGAGGCAGCAGUGGGGGAAUUUUUGGGACAAUGGGCGCAAGCCUGAUCCAGCAAUGCCGCGUGCAGGAUGAAGGCC